UCCAUCUUGUAGCAAUACAAGUGAAGACCUAGUGGCGAACGGGUGGGGAACACGUGAGAAAUUUGCCCCGAACUUUGGGAUAACAGUUGGAAACGACUGCUAAUACCGAAUGCCGUUACGAAGUGGCAUCACUUUGUAACGAAAGAAUCUCGGUUCGGGAGAAUCUCGCGGCCUAUCAGCUUGUUGGUGAGGUAACGGCUCACCAAGGCUACGACGGGUAGCUGGUCUGAGAGGAUGAUCAGCCACACUGGGACUGAGACACGGCCCAGACUCC
rnacentral:rRNA from 1 species